CCAGACUCCUACGGGAGGCAGCAGUGGGGAAUAUUGGGCAAUGGAGGAAACUCUUACCCAGCAAUGCCGCGUGAAUGAAGAAGGUCUUCGGAUUGUAAAGUUCUUUAAUUGGGGACGAAAAAAAUGACGGUACCCAAGGAAUAAGCCCCGGCUAACUACGUGCCAGCAGCCGCGGUAAUACGUAGGGAGCAAGCGUUAUCCGGAAUUAUUGGGUGUAAAGGGUGCGUGGACGGGAUAACAAGUUGGUUGUGAAACCCCUCGGCUCAACUGAGGAACUGCAACCAAAACUAUUAUUCUUGAGUGCAGGAGAGGAAAGUGGAAUUCCUAGUGUAGCGGUGAAAUGCGUAGAUAUUAGGAAGAACACCGGUGGCGAAGGCGACUUUCUGGACUGUAACUGACGUUGAGGCACGAAAGUGUGGGGAGCAAACAGGAUUAGAUACCCCUGUAA
rnacentral:rRNA from 1 species